UGUAAUUUUCAUUUCGUUGCAAUCUUUACCGACAUGGUUAUUGGCGGGUUAUUGCCGAAAGUGUGGUUAUGUUCGGAACUGAUUUGUUGUUGGAAUAAUAAAUAUGUAGACUUGUGUGCUGCGUGGUAGUGCCGAUAUAAUUUCCAAUGGUCCGUAACGUAUUUAACAAUUCAGCCGGUUUUCUUGGUGGAAUCGGAGUGACCUUGAUCAUCAUGAAAUCGUAGACUUCUGCCAUUGCGAAGAUCCGAACACAUGAAUGUAGUUGUCAGUGUGUUGAACUUCUGUCUUCAAGUUGGACGGAAGUUUCUUUGAUGAUUUCUUCAACUUGGGCUGGAGUGAGGAAUUCGUAGAUUUGACCAUUAUUGAAGUGUAUUUCUAGCAGUUUCUUGUAAUAGUCCAUGAAUUCGUCUAUAUAUUGUUCAGCUAAUCGGUAUGCACUUAGCAACUAGAUGUUGAUUUUGUUUUCGUCGAUCCCAAGGUAGUACCACCUUUGCAUUUCUUCAAGUGCCUUAAAUCCCUUGUUCAACUGUUCCCUGAAGCGAUUUAAUUUGUUGGUAACCCUGUUCUCAGUUUCACUAACCCUUGACAACACCUGGAGCAUGAACUUGGUCUCAUGAUUCGAUGCUUUUAUUAGCCCGUGUUGGUUCUUGUCUAGAUCUUUAAUAUUUUUGCAGACUUCGUCGUUAACGCUGAAUCAGUAAUUCACCUAGUAGUCCUUUCUUCUGACGAUCUUUGAUAGCUUUGACAAGUCCUUUUUUCUUUUUCUUGAAGGGCACUAUAACGUGUUUCUGUUUCAAAUUUUCGGAUCUGUUCUUUGAGAAAAUAAUUUUGGUCAAAACCGCAUCUUGCUGUCGUUUUUUGUUUUUGACUUAUAAACAAAAGUUGAAAUUUUAGCGAAAUCUAAAAAAAUCAUAUCUUCCUUAUUAUAAUAGAUACACAUUUGGAACAAAUAACAUUAUCCAGCCAUUUUUGUAUGAUUGUCUUUCAGUAAAAUGUUAUUUUACAAAAAAAAAAUGUCAAUCCCAACACCAAAAUUGAAUCACAUCUGCGGUAAAAAAAUACAUAACAUUAUCCACGUCACCUUAAUUCUACUUCACUAAAUCAUAAAAAAGUGUAAUUAAAUGGUAGUGACACAUCGUUUUCAAUUUUCUGCACAUUUUUUAUGUAAUUAAAAUCUGCGAUGAUCGUAUAUUUGUUCAAUUGAAAAUAACUUUAACAUAACUUAUUUUUAUAAAUUCACAUUUUAUACUGUCACGCUAUUUUUUUUUUAUUAUUAUUAUUACUAAAUAGGUACACCGUCUCCGGACUCAGAGGUGGUUCAGGAGAGCCGGAGUCGUGGGUCUAGUUAAGGGCGCCAAGUAGCUUUUUUUUUGUGUCAGCUAGCUACUGAAUGCUGAUUAUGAAAACGACAAAAUAAAUUUAAUUCAAAAAUGAAAAAUAAUAAUAAUAAAUGAUAAUAAUAAAUAAUAGUUAGUAAAUUAAAAUGAAUUGGGUAAUAAGAAACAAUAUCAAAUUAAAAGGCCAUUUCACAGCUGUGAUAUGUUUACAUUGAACUUAAUUUAAUUAAAAUUGAAUGAAAGAAUAAAUAAUAAGUUGUAGUAAAAAAAAAUUAAAUAUAAUACAGAAUAAUAAAUUAUGAUAAAUGAAUUAAAUGAAGAAACUAUCCAGUUGGUAAAUGUAGUUGGAAAAAUAGAGAAAUAAAUUUGUACAAUAAAUCCCGACGGGUGUAAUGCCAAAAUCGAAGCGGUAUACGAAUUAUGAGAUAAGGGGUACUUAUCGUUCGAUAGGCGAGGUCAAUUGGUCCAGGCGUUCCUUUUGUAGGAACUUUGGUAGGCUGGUGUCGAAUCAGCCACUUGUAGAACGGGGUUAAAUUCUAGAUAUCCCGAUGGGUACAGGUUACACAAUGGACUAUUUCUGCCUCAGCCAGGGUCCCUGAUUUCGAAAUGAUAAGAAUACGGGCGAUAAGAGAAAUCUUACUUUACCUCUGUGAGGGACGACGAAAAAGAAAGAUGCGGUAUUUCUGAAUAAGUCACUAUGUGGUAAUUUACGAAACGGUAGGUCCGAAAUCCGGAAAGGUAAAAGAAACGAUAGUGUAAAUUUUCCACGUGGACUAAUACAGGAGCUUCUGUACUCGUCGAGGACCGCAGCCGAAAAAGGAAGGUUGUUAGGAAGUCAAACGAUUUAUCCCUACUCGUUUUCGUGGCGCGAAACGUUGCCCAUAUCGGUCUAUGUAAAAGAAAAUGAAAAAUUUUGAAUUUAUCGCAAGGAUCCUCCGAGAGCGCGCACUUGGUUCUUGAAAGCCGCAUACGAAAUUGGUGUUUAACGACAGGUGGAAAAGGUUAAGUUUGUUUACAUUUUGAAAAUGUGGCUUUGUGCAAAUGGACCUUUAUUGUGUCGAUGGUUAGUUAAUAGGGAGGUAAGUGAAAACAAUUUACUAAUUAAUUGAGAUGGAAGUUACAGAGUGUGUGCCCUUAAGACAAUUUGCACGACUUAAAUAAAGGGACAAAAAGGGCAUUUAAAACGUACCAAGGAGCCCUACAACUCGGUACGACGAUACAAGAGUAACAUGAGCACUAAAAUUAACCCGGAGGAGAUGCUCAGGCUUCUCCGGAGGGACGGCUUGAAAUGCUCCGGGACUACCCACUCCUUAUAGCCCCAUCACGGCUAGACGAUACAACUAAAUAAGGAAAACAGAGAGGAAACAAGUCUUAUCCAACUCUCUCUAAAGUUGGAACUAACGAUACGAAAGGAAAACACAAGGAAACAGAAACCAGUGAUCAAAUACCAGAAGCAGUUGAACGAAGAUGUUAUGUCAACGGUGUUCAAGUGCCCAAGCAUCUACGGGACUCCAAAACGCCUCCCGUACCAGCGAAACUAUGUUGGAUUGAUUGUAAUUGAUUAUACGAUGUAUUAGUGACUAUUGCUAAGAGUUUAACAAAAUAAGACCGUUACAAUACUUUAGUAACCGUUUAUAAAAUUUCUAGAUUAUUCAUACUUAUUAUGUGAAAUAAUUUUUCAAUGGCCAACUACUACAAAUAUUUUAAGUAUAUUUUUUACCAAAAGUAUGUAAAAAUAUCAAACUGUAUUUAGAUUGUUUUCAAUUCAGUAAAAAAUAAGCUUUUUGAAAAUGUCAGAGCCAACUAUGAUUUCUAUUUAAAAAAAUACAACUUUAUGUUAUUACAGCUAAACGAAUAAUUAAAAAAAGCACUGAUAACGUUAUUUAAAUCUUUGUAAAAAAGUACCCGUAUAAUGUCUUUGUUUCAAACGUGUAUCUUUUGUAAUAACGAAGAUAUGAAUUUUAAAAGAUUUCGCUAAAAUGUCAAAAUGAAAAAUGAAAACAAAUAAUGAUAGCGAGUUGCGAUUUUGAUCAAAAUUAUUUUCCCAAAAAACGGACUCGAGAAUCUGUCACUCGUUUUUCUCUAAACCUCUUAGUUUCGGAGUUUCCCUAUUCGGACAUCCAAGAUGCAACACCCUGUACAUUCCAGGUUUUGGGUACAGCACCUUGUAUAGCGGUCUUGCUGCAUCCAGCGAGACGGUGUUGCUACAUCUUUUUGACGUCUUCUGAUUUUCUUCUUGUUCUUCGUCUUCCCGUGGAAGAGGAAUCAAGCGAUGAAUACUUCUUUUGGCUGGAGCUCAAGUAUGACAACUCGUACCACACCAUCUCCAUCUGGAUGAACUUUUUUUUAAGAAUUAUUAUAAUCUUAAUAAGUUAUAAAUUAUACUUACCUUUGUAAUUGUCAGAAGCUUUUUACACCACUUAUUAACAACUAAAUAAAAAUACGAUUUCCAAACAGUCUUUUUCUAACUUGGAAUAUUGUUUAGCGGAGGUAGAAACCUGCUCUGAUCGCAGUUUUUCUAUUUAAAUAUAAAUGGCGCGGGUGCAAUAGCUAUUAGACGAAGUCCAUAAUCAUGGACAAUCUGUCUUUAGGUGACAAAACAAUUCAGUCGCGA